AGGGAGGGACUGAAGUGACCGAGGAGAGAAUCGGGGUCCUGGUCCUUCCCCUGCUGGCUCCCCCUUAACUGUUGUCAGCUCUGACUCCAAAGAAGAUACCCAAAGACACAGAGACAAGAACAUUCUGCAUCUAGAUUAAACCUGUUAAACCCACAGAACUGCCUUGGACGUGCAGGGCAGUGGGAGUGGCCUCGUGCCUGAGGGUGCCAGACAGUCUCUGUGUCACAGGUGGACUCCUGUGGGAACAUCUAUCAAGGCAUUUACAGAUUCAUUCAGUGGACCAAGAGCACAUGGAUGGAUGCCCUGUGCUGGAGGAGCAGGGGCCACACCGAGGAGUCCGAAGGACAGCUAUGUAAAGGGAGUGGCAAAGGCAUCGACACAGGAGGCAGUGGUCCUAAAUGUCCACCCAUCCCUUAUUCCACCUCCAGCCUUUUCCCUUUUCUAAGCCACAGGCACCACUUACUGCUCUCCAAACCUCUGUGCCACCUCAUCCUGAAAACCUCAGGGGUCCCAGCUCCAGGUUUAGCUGCUUAAUAUUCAAGGUCCAUCAAAACAUAGGAUACCCUGUUUAAAAGUUAUAAGGAGUUUCGUGAUGGAGAUAGCAGAACUAACAUAGCAGGCUCGAGCUUCUUGGGAUUGCACAGGGUGUCCGUGAAGUGAGCCCUGCUUGCCUUCCAUCCAGUGACAUGAUGCUGUACUCUCUCUCAGUCCUCCUGAGCCCCCUGCUACAGAACCUGGGAAAACCUUCCUCUUGUCGCUGGUACCACUCACCUGGACUCCAAGCCCCACCCCCUAACCCUGCUUCUCCCUACAUGCCUCUGCUGCUAUAUCUCUUGCUUGGAACUCAAUUCCUCUAGAAAAUUCCCUCCUUCGGCCGUCUCCUCCAGGAAGGCUCUUGAUUUUCCACAUAAUAAACGACGCAUUGGGUCAAAGCACAAA